ACAGUGGUCCGGCUUGUCGCUGGUGGCCCCGAGAGGCACGAGAGGAAAGUCCGGGCAGCGCAGGGCACCCCACUUCCGAAAGUAGAAGCUAUCGGCGACGGUAGGUUAGGGUAGAAGAGAAUGACCGCCUAUAUAUAUAAAAUAGGUAAGGGUGAGAAGGUGGUGUAAGAGACCACCAGCCGGCGGGUGAUCGUCGGGCUGUACCCACUGGGGGCUGCAAGUUCAAGUAAACCGACCGAGAGAGGGUGGCCCGCCCGAGUAGACGAAGGUCUGAGCGUCCGCAAGGAUGCGACAAGGCCGGGGCUCUUGCGGCGGAGGGUAGAAUGCUGGAGCCGUGGGGCGACUCACGGUGUAGAUAAAUGACAAGCACGGGCUCCCCGUCUAUCGAGGAGCCCGCACAGAACCCGGCUUACAGGACCACUGCCUUU
rnacentral:RNase_P_RNA from 1 species